AAAACAGUUAUAGUUUAUUUGAUGGUCCCUACUACAUGGAUAACCGUAGUAAUUCUAGAGCUAAUACAUGCAUCAACGCUUGCUUCACGGCAGGCGGUAUUUAUUAGAUAAAAACCAAUUCCCCUCGGGGAUUUUAGGUGAAUCACAUUAACUUCUCGGAUCGCACGCUUAACGCGGCGACAGAUCAUUCAAAUUUCUGCCCCAUCAGCUUUCGAUGGUAGGGUAGUGGCCUACCAUGGCAGUAACGGGUAACGGAGAAUUAGGGUUCGAUUCCGGAGAGGGAGCCUGAGAAACGGCUACCACAUCCAAGGAAGGCAGCAGGCGCGCAAAUUACCCAAUCCUGACUCAGGGAGGUAGUGACAAGACAUAUCAAUGGACUGCACACAGUGCGGUCCAAUUGAAAUGAGUACAGUUUAAAACAAUUAACGAUUAACAAUUGGAGGGCAAGUCUGGUGCCAGCAGCCGCGGUAAUUCCAGCUCCAAUAGCGUAUACUAAAUUUGUUGCAGUUAAAAAGCUCGUAGUUGGAUUUCUGGUUGGUGUGGAGCACAGGCUCAUUGAGCUUCGUUAUUCAUGCUGAUCAUCCUGGGAAGUCGCGGUUUGGGUAUUAAUUUAUUCAUUCUAGCAAUUCCCUCGUUUACUUUGAGAAAAUUAGAGUGUUCAAAGCAGGCUUAUGCUUGAAUACAUUAGCAUGGAAUAAUAUUAUAGGACUUUGGUCCUAUUUUGUUGGUUUCUAGGACCGAAGUAAUGAUUGAUAGGGACGGUUGGGGGCAUCAGUAUUUCAAAGCGAGAGGUGAAAUUCUUGGACCUUUGGAAGACUAACAACUGCGAAAGCAUUUGCCUAGGACGUUCUCUUUAAUCAAGAACGAAAGUUAAGGGAUCGAAGACGAUCAGAUACCGUCGUAGUCUUAACUAUAAACUAUGCCAGCUAGGGAUUGGGAGCUAUCUUCCUUGAUGCUUUCAGCACCUUAUGAGAAAUCAAAGCAUUUGGGUUCCGGGGGGAGUAUGGUCGCAAGGCUGAAACUUAAAGGAAUUGACGGGAGGGCACCACCAGGAGUGGAGCCUGUGGCUUAAUUUGACUCAACACGGGAAAA
rnacentral:rRNA from 1 species